AUUCCAGUGUCGAUCAAGUACU
rnacentral:miRNA from 1 species